GUGAUAACACAGGAGGGAUUUUUGUUUUGUUUUUUUAGUUGGGCAGUGCACAAUUUUAUAUUUUUACUCUGAAAGCUGGUUUGCAAGGAGGUGCAUAAAUAUUAUUUAUCAAAUUACUAGCAUUUUUUGCAAUGCAACUUAUGUUUUUAUAAUGACACCAGAUUAAGAAGAGUGAAAGAAUUGAGCUGCAAAUCUAAGCUUUGCACUCCCAAUCUUAUGUUGGAAUAAUAAAUUCAGUUCAGCCAUAACUUACUGAAUAUGUCUAAUAUUUCUGAAAAUGUCUGAGAUAUUACUGGAUAGGUCAUAGAAGAAAUAUGGAGAAAUGGAAACUAGAAUGAUCUGUGUGAUUCUAGUGCUGCAACUCCUGAAACCUGAAGUCUGUGACUCACCAGUUCUAAGCCCCAGAGUCCUGAUGGGGCACCUCAAGGAGACACUUCAGCCACCUAAGUCAGCUGGACCACCCCAUGACACAGUCAUGGAGGUUCCAGUCUGAAUUCAGAGUCAAUGAUAAGGGAGGCUUCCGUGGCAGAGUGAAAAGCACACACCUGAGAAAUGAAAAGAAAUGGCAAAGGUCACACGUCUCAGGAUGAAUUGCACUGUGUGUGACACCCUAGCUGAAAUCCUAUCCCACAGGACCAUCAGAUGGUGAGCUGGAGGUGCUGAGAGCUUCAACAACGCACCCAAGUCAGAUGGGAAGUCAAAUGCUUGGCCACCCUCAAACUCUCUGUUUUUACUCUGCAAGAAACUUCCCAACAGACAGUUCGACAGCCUCCCAAAUGCCAAUGGGCAUGAAAUAUGGUUUUCUCCCAAGUCCCUCUUCAGAACUGAAUCUUUCCAUGUCUCCUUCAGGGAUUGCAGGGCCUCAUCUAAACUUAAGAUAAAUAAAUACCCCAAGACGUGGGAUAGAAAUGGAAGUCAAAAGGAGAGACUGGGGAAAGGAGUUAGCGAACCUUGGACCUUUUACCAUAUGGCCUCAGCACUUUUGAUUAUUUUAUAAAUGCAUGAGGUGACACAUUGGUUUCUUUAAAGCCAUUUUUACACAUACAUCCCUUUUAGGGUUAUAAUUCAUGUGAAUUUAGAUAAUGAGGUAAUUGAGUUUAAUGACUGUAGCAGUGAUUCAGGAAGGAGAAGAUCUCAAAUUAUUUAUAAUAAUAAUUGAUACUAAUACUUGUAUGGUAUUACCAAGGCAA
rnacentral:lncRNA from 10 species